GGAUGUGAGGGUGAUCUGGCUGUAACAUCUGUCACCCCAUUGAUGGCCAGGGUUGAUUCGGCUGAUCGGGCUGGCUAGGCGGGUGUCCCCUUCCUCCCUCACCGCUCCAUGUGUGUCCCUCCCGAAGCUGGGCGCUCGGUUGAAGAGGACAACCUUCCCCGAUAGAGGAGGACCGUUCUUUGGUCAAGGGUGUACGAGUAGCUGCGCUCCCCUGCCGAAACCUCCAAACAAGCUCUCAAGGUCCAUUUGUAGGAGAAUAUAGGGUAGUCAAGUUUCCAAGACUCCAGACACAUCCAAAUGAGGUGCUGCAAUUGGCAGUCUGCCUUUCUUA
ensembl:misc_RNA 7SK 7SK RNA